UAAGGGAUAUUGCGACAAUGGACGAAAGUCUGACGCAGCAACGCCGCGUGCGGGAUGAAGGCCUUCGGGUUGUAAACCGCUUUUCUGUGGGAAGAGGAAGGACGGUACCACAGGAAUAAGUCUCGGCUAACUACGUGCCAGCAGCCGCGGUAAAACGUAGGAGGCGAGCGUUAUCUGGAUUUACUGGGUGUAAAGCGCGUGCAGGCGGGGUCGUAAGUCGUGCGUGAAAGCUCCCGGCUCAACCGGGAGAGGACGUACGAAACUGCGGUUCUGGAGGCAGGUAGAGGCGUGUGGAAUUCCGGGUGUAGUGGUGAAAUGCGUAGAUAUCCGGAGGAACACCAGUGGCGAAGGCGACACGCUGGGCCUGACCUGACGCUAAGACGCGAAAGCAUGGGGAGCGAACG
rnacentral:rRNA from 1 species